rnacentral:rRNA from 1 species
CGCAUCUGUGCAUGCAGCAUAUCAAUAAGCGGAGGAAAAGAAACUAACAAGGAUUCCCUCAGUAACGGCGAGUGAAGCGGGAAGAGCUCAAAUUUGAAAUCUUGAAAGGUCACCUUUCACGAAUUGUAGUUUAAAGAAGUGUUUUCUGUUACGAUCGUAAUAUAAGUUCUUUGGAAUAGGACAUCACAGAGGGUGAGAAUCCCGUCUAUGAUUGCGAUUUGUAGCUUUGUGAUACACUUUCAAAGAGUCGGGUUGUUUGGGAAUGCAGCCCAAAACGGGAGGUAAAUUUCUUCUAAGGCUAAAUAUUGGCGAGAGACCGAUAGCGAACAAGUACCGUGAGGGAAAGAUGAAAAGAACUUUGAAAAGAGAGUUAAAUAGUACGUGAAAUUGUCAAAAGGGAAGCGUUUAACACCAGUGUUGUUUUCUGAAAAUCAACCUCUGUUAGCUUUAUGCAUGUUUGUUUAGACCUAAUCAGCUAUCUUGCAUGUUCUAUUGUUUGCAGUGGUGCACUUUUCAGUUUACAGGUCAACAUCAGUUUUUUUUACCGUAAAAAAGUUAAAGAAAGGUAGCUCAUGGCUCCGGUCGUGAGUGUUAGUAGUCUUUUUCCUAUGCGGUAGGAGAGACUGAGGUCUGCAGUGUAGGCUAUUUGGCUAGAUACUCAGGUGCUAUGUGAUACCAUUUCAUAAACAACUUGUUGAUUAUGUUUUGUCUAUUGCAUACUCGCUUGUACUAUCAUACCUACGCUUAGGAUGUUGACGAUCAGCUGAGCGCG